rnacentral:tRNA from 1 species
GCCGUCGUCGUUGAAGCGGGACGCCACGGUGCCGUACACCGGCAUGUCGUCGGGGGCGGUGCCGAAGGCCUCCCGGUUGCGCACCAGCUGGCGGCGC